CGCCUCCCUCUCAAACUCGGUGCCUCUCUGUUCUCUCAAUCAUCAUCUCUCUGUCAUUUCCAUGGCUUCAUCUCUCAACUCAAAUGAAUCAACAACCACAAAAAAGCAAACUUUCUUCUAAACUCUAUCCCACUCUCAUCUGAACAUGGUAACAAUAAAACUCACUCAAGCUCUCACGGUUCAAGCAUCGCUCUCGAUCACUCUUCUCACGGUUCUCUGUUGAUCUCAUCUCUCGCGAUUCUCUCAUAUUCUCAGCAACAAAAUCUCGCCUUUUCGCUCUCGAUUUCAGUAGCCAUGAAAGCAUAACAACAAGCAACAACAUACGAUACCCAAACCCCUCUGUAAAACCCAAAUCACCCCGAUUUCAUUAUGAUUCUAAGAUUACAUGUUAUAAGCAGAAAUUUAAAUCAGAGAUAACAUUAAGAUACAGAGACAAAGGCAAAGAAGGUACGAUACUCUUUUCUGAUUAUUUCAGCUGCUGCGAAAAUUUUCUUCUUCGUCCAUCUUCUUUCCGAUCUGAGCGUGACUCGGUUGUUGUUGUUGCUUCGAUAGAUCUCUGCGUUUUCCUCCUGUGCGUUGAUGGGUGUUUGGAGGUGUGUUUACGGCAAGGUUAUGUUAGGGUUCUCACGGAAUCGAGGUCACCGAGUUCAUAAAGUCGUUGUUGUGUUGUAGAUGUGUGUGUUUUUUUUUGUAGAAUGAGGUUUUGAAGGAUGUUGAGGGGAUUUGCAGAGGCUAUGGUUUGUCUUGGUUCGGUGAGCUUAUGGCUUGAACAAAAUGGUGAAAUUUCUGGCUUGAUAGGGACAAUAUAUAACAGGGCAUCUUGGACUAUUUUGGUUGGUAGUAUUGUGCAGCAGCAAUAUUUUGGCUUGUUAUGUUUGUUUGUAUUGGAGCAGAACACUGAACCGUGAAGAAGGACUUUUUUGUUUUGA